GUGCUCACUUCGGCAGCACAUAUACUAAAAUUGGAAUGAUACAGAGAAGAUUAGCAUGGCCCCUGCUCAAGGAUGACAUGCAAAUUCGUGAAGCAUUCCAUAUUUUU
rnacentral:snRNA from 1 species